AGUGAAGGAGCUGCUUGAUCUACAGCAGAGUCCAACCUGUGGACUGGAGACUCUGAGGUGGGAGGAGUCUUGGUGGAGCAGAGUGUGAAGAGGACAGUGUGUGUGGACGGAGGCUGAGCUGUGUCCUGAGGAUCCAGAGGCUGAAGCAGCAGCAGCUUGUGUGUAGUCUCCAAUCUACACAACCCCUAAUCUGCAUGUGUUUGUGAGAUGAAGCCGGAGCACCUGGAGAAAACACGUGGAGAACAUGCAGACUCCACACAGGAAGACCCAUCUGAACCGGAUUCAAACCAGCAACCUUCCUGCCCCGAUUGUGUUUAUUCACAUGAAGAAUGUGUUUAUUGAAAUGACACAACACAAGCAGAAUAUAUAAACCCUCUAUAAAGAGUCA